rnacentral:rRNA from 1 species
AGAGAUAGGCCUUUCCUUCGGGACUGUUGCACAGGUGCUGCAUGGCUGUCGUCAGCUCGUGCCGUGAGGUGUUGGGUUAAGUCCCGCAACGAGCGCAACCCUUAUCAUUAGUUGCCAACAUUUAAGGUGGGAACUCUAAUGAGACUGCCUGGGUUAACCAGGAGGAAGGUGAGGAUGACGUCAAGUCCGCAUGGCCCUUAUGUCUGGGGCUACACACGUGCUACAAUGGUCGGUACAAAAGGCAGCGAAGCCGCGAGGUGAAGCAAAUCCAAAAAACCGGUCUCAGUUCAGAUUGUAGUCUGCAACUCGACUACAUGAAGACGGAAUUGCUAGUAAUGGCGAGUCAGCAACAUCCGCCGUGAAUACGUUCCCGGGUCUUGCACACCCCUCCCGGAAUUCUUGCAAAUUACAUCACACUGGCAGGCCGCU